rnacentral:piRNA from 1 species
UGUAGUAACAUACGUGUGCUAACGCUUCC